rnacentral:tRNA from 2 species
GGCCCGUUGGUCAAGCGGUUAAGACGCUAGCCUCUCACGCUGGAAACAUGGGUUCGAUUCCCGUACGGGUCACCA